rnacentral:rRNA from 1 species
GACGAACGCUGGCGGCGUGCUUAACACAUGCAAGUCGAACGGAAAGGUCCUGCUUUUGUGGGGUGCUCGAGUGGCGAACGGGUGAGUAACACGUGAGUAACCUGCCCUUGACUUUGGGAUAACUUCAGGAAACUGGGGCUAAUACCGGAUAGGAGCUCCUGCUGCAUGGUGGGGGUUGGAAAGUUUCGGCGGUUGGGGAUGGACUCGCGGCUUAUCAGCUUGUUGGUGGGGUAGUGGCUUACCAAGGCUUUGACGGGUAGCCGGCCUGAGAGGGUGACCGGCCACAUUGGGACUGAGAUACGGCCCAGACUCCUACGGGAGGCAACAGUGGGGAAUAUUGCACAAUGGGCGGAAGCCUGAUGCAGCAACGCCGCGUGCGGGAUGACGGCCUUCGGGUGGUAAACCGCUUUCGCCUGUGACGAAGCGUGAGUGACGGUAAUGGGUAAAGAAGCACCGGCUAACUACGU